AGGGCAAGGGUCUUGUGUAUGUAUUAAAAACAUUUCCAUUAGACUUGGGACCAGGGUAGAGGUGCCCAUGUGGUUAACUAAUAUUUCCCAUUGUUUUGGAAGUCUGCCAAAUUUCAUA